GAUACACUCAAAAAAGUGAAAUCUCACUAUUGUUCAUCUUAAUAAAUCCUCUUUCGUAGGAUUUACAAAACAAAAUUAGGUUUCUAAGGUGAAAUUGAGUUGGUUGUGUUAUUUCAAAUCAAUAAUGCGUUUUUUCUGAUUAACUUAACAUGUUUGCAUUGGAUCUACACAACUUUCUUGAACAAAACACAUUAGAUUAGGAAAUUUGUCCCUCUAUGGUUGCCGUAGCAUUAUUUCACAACUUAUGAGGACCAUGGUGAGGACUCCGCCAGUGAGAAAGUGAAGGCCCGCCAUUUUUUCCUCACUUGCUCACAGAACAUUUUUGGAUCCUGUAAUUGCAAGGCCUUUAUGUGGCAGUGCAAAUGUGGAGCGCAAGACCGGAGUGUCAUCAAGGUCUCAUUUAUUGAAGUAUUACAGAAUGUCAGAACUCGACAUCAUCUGCACAAUAGCUGUUUGCUGUGUGUGCGUAGGAAGGGAGGAGAUCAUGGCUGCCAUUGACCAGAAUUAUACCAUUGGCUUGUUGAGAGCUUGCAACCUGAAAGCACUUGUGUACUUAAAUGAAGGCUCUGAGAAACUCAUAAAGGAAUACCUGGACGCGGACUGAUGCCCAGAGCCAGAUGGAGAAAACCACCAUCGGGAUAUUUCUAAUCAAACAUGAGGGUGCCAAUGCCUCCACUAGAAGAUGUAGACAUUAUAGUUGAAUCACUAACAAUGUAACAAAACUAAACAUGCUGUGUUUAGCAGAGAUAUUUUUCUGUUCAUUGCAUUUCUAUUUUACUAAAAAAUGUCCCUGAUGGAUUGAUGAGAAUGGAGACAAAGGUUGCUGCUAAAUAAAUGCAGAUUUGUUUUGAA